rnacentral:rRNA from 1 species
ACGGGAGGCAGCAGUGGGGAAUAUUGGACAAUGGGGGAAACCCUGAUCCAGCGACGCCGCGUGAGUGAAGAAGUAUUUCGGUAUGUAAAGCUCUAUCAGCAGGGAAGAUAAUGACGGUACCUGACUAAGAAGCCCCGGCUAACUACGUGCCAGCAGCCGCGGUAAUACGUAGGGGGCAAGCGUUAUCCGGAUUUACUGGGUGUAAAGGGAGCGUAGACGGCAUAGCAAGUCUGAAGUGAAAGGCAGGGGCUCAACCCCUGGACUGCUUUGGAAACUGUUAAGCUAGAGUGCAGGAGAGGUAAGUGGAAUUCCUAGUGUAGCGGUGAAAUGCGUAGAUAUCAGGAGGAACACCGGUGGCGAAGGCGGCCUGCUGGACAGUAACUGACGCUGAGGCUCGAAAGCGUGGGGAGCAAACAGGAUUAGAUACCCUGGUA